UACGUAGGCAGCGAGCGUUGUUCGGAGUUACUGGGCGUAAAGGGUGCGUAGGCGGUUGUUUAAGUUUGGUGUGAAAUCUCCCGGCUCAACUGGGAGGGUGCGCCGAAUACUGAAUGACUAGAGUGCGGGAGAGGAUAGUGGAAUUCCUGGUGUAGCGGUGAAAUGCGUAGAUAUCAGGAGGAACACCGGUGGUGUAAACGGCUUUCUGGACCAUAACUGACGCUGAGGCACGAAAGCGUGGGUAGCAAACAGG
rnacentral:rRNA from 1 species